GGCAGUGUAGCUUAAUGGUAGAGUACUCAGCUGGUAUCUGAGACGUACAGGUUCGAGUCCUGUGGCUGUCU
rfam:Octopus bimaculoides Scaffold29199_contig_6, whole genome shotgun sequence.